GCCAUACACCCUGAAUGUUUCUGAUACUUGUCUGAUCUUGGAAGCUAAGCAGGGCCUGACCUGGUUAGUAUUUGGAUGGGAGAAACCCAUACAAAGAACAGGUAC
rnacentral:rRNA from 1 species